UACGGGAGGUAGCAGUGGGGAAUAUUGCACAAUGGGCGCAAGCCUGAUGCAGCCAUGCCGCGUGUAUGAAAAAGGCCUUCGGGUUGUAAAGUACUUUCAGUCGUGAGGAAGGUGUUAAGGUUAAUAACCUUAGCAAUUGACGUUAGCGACAGAAGAAGCACCGGCUAACUCCGUGCCAGCAGCCGCGGUAAUACGGAGGGUGCGAGCGUUAAUCGGAAUUACUGGGCUAAAGGGCACGCAGGCGGUUAAUUAAGUUGGAUGUGAAAUCCCCGGGCUUAACCUGGGAAUGGCAUUCAAGACUGGUUAGCUAGAGUCUUGUAGAGGGGGUAGAAUUCCAUGUGUAGCGGUGAAAUGCGUAGAGAUGUGGAGGAAUACCGGUGGCGAAGGCGGCCCCUGGACAAAGACUGACGCUCAUGUGCGAAAGCGUGGGGAGCAAACAGGGAUUAGAUACC
rnacentral:rRNA from 1 species